GAUUAACGCUAGCGGCAGGCAUAAUACAUCCAAGUUGAACGGCAGCACAGGUAGCAAUACUGGGUGGCGAGUGGCGCACGGGUGCGUAACACGUAUGCAACCUACCCUAUACAGGCGAAUAACCUUUAGAAAUGAGGGCUAAUACGCCGUAGUAUUACAGAUGGGCAUCUAUUUGUAAUUAAAGAUUUAUCGGUAUAGGAUGGGCAUGCGUCCCAUUAGUUAGUUGGUAAGGUAACGGCUUACCAAGACGAUGAUGGGUAGGGGAUCUGAGAGGACUUACCCCCACACUGGUACUGAGACACGGACCAGACUCCUACGGGAGGCAGCAGUAAGGAAUAUUGGGCAAUGGCCGCGAGGCUGACCCAGCCAUGCCGCGUGCAGGAAGACGGCCUUAUGGGUUGUAAACUGCUUUUAUACGGGAAUAAUAGAGUGUACGCGUACAUUUAUGCAAGUAUCGUAUGAAUAAGCAUCGGCUAACUCCGUG
rnacentral:rRNA from 1 species